rnacentral:rRNA from 1 species
CAGCAGCCGCGGUAAAACGUAGGUGGCAAGCGUUGUCCGGAAUUAUUGGGCGUAAAGGGCUCGCAGGCGGUUUCUUAAGUCUGAUGUGAAAGCCCCCGGCUCAACCGGGGAGGGUCAUUGGAGACUGGGAAACUUGAGUGCAGAAGAGGAGAGUGGAAUUCCACGUGUAGCGGUGAAAUGCGUAGAGAUGUGGAGGAACACCAGUGGCGAAGGCGACUCUCUGGUCUGUAACUGACGCUGAGGAGCGAAAGCGUGGGGAGCGAACAGGAUUAGAUACCCGCGUAGUCCCUGUCUCUUAUAC